UGGUGAUAUCAUGUUGAAAUGCUGGUUCUUGUACGAUCACUGAAGUUAAGCAAUGUUGAGCUUGGUCAGUACCUAGAUGGGUAACUGCAAGUGAAUAUCAGGUGCUGUAA